rnacentral:lncRNA from 1 species
AGGCUCGUCCGCUGCAGGAGCCGUGAUAUAUGUCUCGCUCCCUUUCGCUUACAGAAAGGAUUUCUUCCGACAGACGUGACCCCAGAAGGCUGCCGAGGGAGACUUUAGGACAAGAGGCGUUGUUUUUUUAGGGAAGGAAGAGGAGCCUGUGCAGAGUUGAACUGGGGUGGAGAGGUGCCUUGUAAAGUAUGGUUUCCAGAGAUGGUGAGACCUCGUAGCUAAGCGUUGUUUCCUCUGCACGUAACUUUUCAGCGUGGCCGCAUUUGGAAAAGGCUGAAGGUAGAAAACUCUGGAAUGGAGAGGCUGGCGACUGGAGCAGGAUCCAGGGGCUUUAAAUUUUAACCUGAAUGCGAUCGAAUGCGCGACUCCCAGAAGAGAUAGCCAGGCGUCCGCCCGGCCGCUCAACCCCCGCCAGGACUCGGAAUGCCUUGCUUUUGGUUCUUUUCUACAAGGAUGUCUGCGUGGAUAUCCCUGGACACUCGAUACCCCCCGGGGACCUGCUUUUCCCGCAGCUCCGCAGACGCGGCGGGAGGGCGCGCUGGCCCCGGCGCUGCUGGGACAGAGGUGAGCAGCGGGGUGGACAUUGACCGAUUCGACAACGUUCGGGCUCUAAGGGCUCGGGAAGGGACCCGGCAUUUUACCCUCCAGAUUCCCAAUCUAUUUUUAAAAAUAAUGUUCAAAACAUAUGGGAAAAAUAAGUGAUUGCUCCUUUUCAUGGUCACAGAUUGUAUUUAUUUUUUCAGACUGGUUUUCCAACCUAACGAGGGAAUGGGUAGUGAAUGUUGUUGUUGUUGUUGUUGUUUAUGUUGGUUAAUUUCGAAAUAAAACUGUUUAACUCG